AGGAAUACACCACUGGUACGGGGACGGAACCGACACCUCUCAAAGGCUUUCGGUACUCUACUCUUACUCAAAACGUCCCCGACGUACAGAACGGUAACAUGUCUUUCCGCACAUAUGAGCUUGGGUAAAUGAGUAACCCCAACCCCUUGGGAGGAGGAAGACACUCAGUGUCUGCA
rnacentral:ribozyme from 1 species